rnacentral:rRNA from 1 species
AUUGAACGCUGGCGGCAGGCCUAACACAUGCAAGUCGAACGGUAGCACAGAGGAGCUUGCUCCUUGGGUGACGAGUGGCGGACGGGUGAAUAAUGUCUGGGAAACUGCCCGAUGGAGGGGGAUAACUACUGGAAACGGUAGCUAAUACCGCAUAACGUCGCAAGACCAAAGAGGGGGACCUUCGGGCCUCUUGCCAUCGGAUGUGCCCAGAUGGGAUUAGCUAGUAGGUGGGGUAACGGCUCACCUAGGCGACGAUCCCUAGCUGGUCUGAGAGGAUGACCAGCCACACUGGAACUGAGACACGGUCCAGACUCCUACGGGAGGCAGCAGUGGGGAAUAUUGCACAAUGGGCGCAAGCCUGAUGCAGCCAUGCCGCGUGUAUGAAGAAGGCCUUCGGGUUGUAAAGUACUUUCAGCGAGGAGGAAGGCAUUAAGGUUAAUA